rnacentral:lncRNA from 1 species
CACAUUUUUGUUGAUAAACAUGUUUAUGAUGAAGAAAAACUUGGAUAGUAUUACGGAUACUUGAAUAAGGCUCUGAUCUGUCUUUGAUUUUUCCUGUUGGUGUUAAAAAAUUGCAAGCUCAAAUAAAAAUAAAUUGAAAUGGAACUCAUGGAUAUGCUUUGAAAAAAGAAAUAAACAGCAAUGUGAAUCUCGCCGAAGUCUUACCAACAACCAAGUCAACACACACUUG